AGUAUUAACUGUCCCAGGACAAAUCUUGAAAACAUAUCUUGCUUCAGUAAACGUCGAUAUUUUCAAAUAGCCAAACACUUAAAUAAAACCUCAGCUGCCCUCUUUAUACUACGAAAUCUACAAGUUCACAACUUUCACCUUUAUAAAAACAGAACCUCUUCUCCCUCUAAAGAGAAGUGGCUCGGUUUGUACUGCGGUGAUGCCAUCGGUCUUCAAACACAGUGAAGCCGCCGGUGUGAAGGAGUUGGAGCACCGCGAAAGCUACGCUAGCCUCGACAAUCCAGUGCAAAACACUUUAUGCCGAGGAUGGGAGCUCGUAACUUGUAGUGCGUGAGUACUACAGGCUCAGAUUUCUAUAAGGCAGUCGAAGUGGCUUCUGAAGCUGGGAGAUUCUACUCUUAGACUUCACUGUGCGCCACACCGGUCCUAAAGAUGCCUAGUCUUCAUUCGCUAUGUGGGCAUCGAUCGUCGGGCUGUCCAUACAGCGAGUGGUUAGUGGAACCUCAUCCCUUUGUUGCUUCUAGGUCCGGAGGCGGCAUCAUCGCAGGAAGUCGGGCAACAUCAGGUCCUCGUGGAUCCGACCGUUGCGGUGAGGCCACCUCAACAAGCACCCCCCGCCGUUUGUGACGGACUACGGCCGCUAGCAGACGUUAUCAAGCUCCGCGAGGUCAAACAGUCGUAGCAGCAACUGAUUGUGACAUAGUUGUUUUGACAAAGUUGUUGUGGCACAGUUAUUGCGGCCUCGUUGCAGCACAGUGCUUGGUGGCAUUGCGACAUAUCGAACCGGAUCGUCGUCCUGCCGGCACAUUCUGAUGGUUCAGGAAGCCGUGGGUCAACAAGAUGGUAAGAGCCAGCCCGGCAGUUCUACAAGCUGUUCCUUGGUGGCUUCGACUACGGUACAACAGACUCCAAGGCGAUUUCGGGCGGCGAGGAGAGCUCGCGGAGUGUACGGUGAUGCGGCUGUGCAACCGGCUACGGGUGGUGGGUUCGGUGGACACGACCAGCCCAACUGUGGGUCAUACAGAAGUGGCGGUACGGUGCUGGAACAUGUCUUGACCGGUGUUUACGGCCUCCUUAGAAGUGGUCCCUCAUAGAGCUGUCAUGGUGUCGCCGGUUGUGAUCCUGAUGGUGUCGUGUCAGUGGCGGUGGAUGUGGCGGGUGCAGGUUCUGCUGCAGGUUGCUCUUUAGUUUGACAAUCCGGGCAAGCUUCCACGGCCAAGAGCUGGGUCGGCGCAACAGCAGUGACUCCCGCGUUCGCUCAUACUUUUUGAUGGAACUUCUAGCCUCAACUGCCGGGAUCUCGACAUGUGAUACGACAUCUUCCGCAUUGUCGUUUGUCGCCACUUCUGGACUUGUUUUUCGUGUGCGGGCGGAAUGGGACGCCAAACACACCGGACGACGACUCGUUCCAGGCACCCUAGUGGCAGCUUGGGAGGUGCCUACCGCAAACGAGUGGAAGGUGGCCACACACUACGAGAGACUACUUUCCAAUGUCUUUUUUUUGCGAAACUUGAAAUUUGGCGAAGGAGACCCAGUGCUUGCGAAUGAGCGGUUGAAUUAAUAGUGCACAUAAGCUCAAAGCAGCGUGUAAAGACUCACAUUUUUUUGCCGCAUAGAUUUGGAAAAUAUACAAUCUGCAAGUCAGCGGUGCAUUUCCUAGACUGCAAGUCCAAUACAUGAACUCGCAGUCUCGAUCCCGUCUCUUGGCGGUGGGUGUAAGCCUACGCCAAUAGACGUGGGCUUCGGUGAUACUGUCUGUUGAAAGUUGGCAAGGCCAAUAUUGACACCGUCUAGGUGAAGCACAGUCAAGGUGCUCGGGCAUUACCGAUUAUAUAUCACGACGGAAGGAUUGUGCCAGGAUACGCCGUAUCAUCUCUAUGCAGUCUCUUGAUCCCACAUCGAGUAUCGUCGAUGUGCCAAAAAGUUUGUCUGCCGUUCAAAGUUCCAGUGGCCCGCAUUGUGGCACCUGUGGUCGCAUUCGGUGCCCGUCGUGGUUUCACUUCGUGCGCGUGUGUGCACAAAUAGGUUGGCGUUCGAGUGUGGCACGAUCGAGUUUGUCGGAACUUUUUUUCACAAUCAUCGAUCGUACGAGCAUUUUUACCAUUUUGUAAAUUUAUUAUUACGACACAGAAGUCCUAAUUGUUCAUCGAGCUGCUGAGCCAAUUUAUUGGUAGUACUGCAAAGAGUUUGUCGUACGCGGAAAUGGGAUUUUCCCGGUUUACAUACUUGCAAGAAGUCCUGAGGCCCUUUGAGAAAACAUUUUUUUGUUUUCAGUUUAGACCUGUCAAGUGCUCUGGUUCUUCACUUUUUCUGCCUUGUGUUUUAGAAAGGGGAAUAAAGCUUGAAGACCUUGAA
rnacentral:lncRNA from 1 species